rnacentral:rRNA from 1 species
GUGGGGAAUCUUAGACAAUGGGCGCAAGCCUGAUCUAGCCAUGCCGCGUGUGUGAUGAAGGUCUUAGGAUCGUAAAGCACUUUCGCCAGGGAUGAUAAUGACAGUACCUGGUAAAGAAACCCCGGCUAACUCCGUGCCAGCAGCCGCGGUAAUACGGAGGGGGUUAGCGUUGUUCGGAAUUACUGGGCGUAAAGCGUACGUAGGCGGAUCAGAAAGUUAGGGGUGAAAUCCCGAGGCUCAACCUCGGAACUGCCUCUAAAACUCCUGGUCUUGAGUUCGAGAGAGGUGAGUGGAAUUCCAAGUGUAGAGGUGAAAUUCGUAGAUAUUUGGAGGAACACCAGUGGCGAAGGCGGCUCACUGGCUCGAUACUGACGCUGAGGUACGAAAGUGUGGGGAGCAAACAGGAUUAGAUACCCGUGUAGUCC